GUUUAAACAUCAAAAUCGAUAAGUUAUUUUAAAAUUUUCUUUUUAUUAUGACAGAUCGUCAAAUUGAUAUACUUGCUUUUUUAAUUGUACUCUGGUUAAUUCACGAAAUUUCAAGAGUUACAAAUAAAAUUAAAUAAUACUGAAGGAUUCUUUUCGAAAACUAAAACCAAAUUGAUCACACUUGUACCUCAACAUUCUUGCUAGCUGCGGUGGACCACAAUAAAAUACCGUCACCUUUCCUUUUUUUCGUUCCUGGAGCUGUUUGAAGACCUUGUCCCAGUUUGGACGCCCCGCAUUGGUCCUAGUCUUCAAUCCAGUAAUGAGAUCCCUUUUUUCCUGGAUUUAAUAAGAAUUAACGAGAUCCAUGGCAAGUUGAAGACCAAUUGCUUUCAUAUCAUUUUUCUGUAAUGCACUUGUAAUGUACAUGUGCAUUUCAAGGAAUCGUUCCAUAGUAGCUCCAAGUUCGGCUUGCUCUAUUUCAAGUUGUGAGAGCAAGUUAAC